UACAAAGGGUGCGAGCGUUAAUCGGAAUUACUGGGCGUAAAGCGCACGUAGGUGGCGACGUAAGUCGGGUGUGAAAGCCCCGGGCUCAACCUGGGAAUUGCAUUCGAGACUGCAUUGCUGGAGUACGGAAGAGGAAGGCGGAAUUCCCGGUGUAGCGGUGAAAUGCGUAGAUAUCGGGAGGAACAUCAGUGGCGAAGGCGGCCUUCUGGUCCAGUACUGACACUCAAGUGCGAAAGCGUGGGGAGCAAACAGG
rnacentral:rRNA from 1 species